UCUGCCCAGGAAAGCGCCGCUUCCAGGCAGAGGAGGUUCGAGAAAGCGACUCUAUCAGGUACAGCACUAGUAGCUGUCUGUGAAGAUGGAGGGGGAUUACGCCUCGGAUUCUUCUGAAAUAUUGGCCAAAGGCUUCAAAGGAUCCGCAGCGGGAGGCGAGGGUGGGGGAGCAUCUCCCCAGCUCGCACCCACCCCUUCCCACUUUGCGUCUACCAAAUGACAGGCUGGUGCUCGCUCUGGGUGAUUUUGGCCUUGGCCUCAGCCAAGCAGCUGAUGCAGAGGAGGGCCAGCUUUGCAAGACUGACAGAACUCUGAAUGCUAGAGAAAGAAGAAGAAAAAGAAAAAGAUUUUUUUUUUUUUCGAGCAGUCCUUGGGAGAUUUUCUCGUUCUCUCUCGAUUUAUUUAUUUAUUUAUUUCUAUUUUUUUUAACCGACUAUUUUCCAAAUUCGAUCAGCCCCAGCCCCUCCCUCCACUCCCACCCAACAGCCUUCCCCCCCACCCCCCACCCACGGUCAAAGCAUAAACCACAGAGUUACGGUCUUCUUUGGAUUUUGGAGUAUCGCUUCCUGCCCCCGCCUUCCCUCCCCGCCCCAUUCUCUGUCCUAUUGAACACCUCGCCCAGCCUAGAGCUCACAUUCUCCCCCGGCUCCGGAUGGCGCUCCUGGAAGCUCUGCAACUAGGCUCCACUUCAAAUGGGAAGAAGAUGGACAAUGUCUAUACGCCAUCUUCAGUUGGUAACGCUGUGGCAGUUAGCAUAACCAGUGCUAGGCGAGAUUCAUACUGGCUGCGGUAUGCGUGGCCAACCGGAGUGAGGACAAAUCCCAUUCCGUCUGAAGACUGUCUCCUGCCAGAGAUCAAAUGCAGCUCGCACAUACAUGACGCCAAGCAGAAUGGCACACUAAGAGAUUUUCCAUGGCGGGAGCUCGGCACUCCUGGUUUACUUUGUUCAGGCGUUGUGUUGGGAUUUGAGGAGACUGGCUACAACUCCACAGGGCGGUUGCUGAGGAUGGAGCCUCCGUGUGUCUCAGAAGACUGCAAUUCUUACUGCUAGGAGACUGCAUGGCUAGUUCCCUCUGAGUUAAGCUUCUAUUUCUGAAGCCCAGAUGCAAUGAGGAGGUGCCUAUGAUAGACACAGAAUACAAACCCCACACAGCUUAAAGCUGGCAGAUGUCCUCUGCAAAACGAUGCCACACCUUGACCCUGAAUGAGGAAGAAGGCAGGGAUCCAUAGGAUUAUCCUGAGUGGAAAACAUGGCUUCCACUUCUAAUUUGUUUUUGAAAAACGGAAUCAUACCUAUGAAUUUCUUAAUAAAAUAUCUUUCUUGUAAAAUGUAGUCA
rnacentral:lncRNA from 1 species